GUAUUGGUGGUUCAGUGGUAGAAUUCCUGCCUUCCAUCUGAGAGACUGAGACCUGGGUUUGAUUCCUGGCCAAUACA
rnacentral:tRNA from 1 species